GAAUUGGAGUGGGCCUGUACUUUGUUCCCUGGGAACCGUCCAGCCAGGUGGCCACUUACCACUCCAGAUGGAUUCCCUCAGUAUAGGAGCAGGGCUCUAAGGACCUCACAGACAAAAUUGCAGGUUUGGAGUCCAGGGUUGUGUGGUACAAAGAAGUCCAUGGCAGGACCACUCACCACUGGCUCCCCAGACCCUCAUUCCUGAAGCAGACUGAAUUGGGAGAUCCAUGGACCCUGCAGAUUGAAAGGAAUUCUUGGGGGUAAGAUGGGAUAGGGUAAGGAUAGAAAGCCAGUAUCCAGGAACAUGUCCUGCUGGAUGACCAGAAAAUUUUAGGGAAUUGGAGGGGGCCUGAAAUUCAUUCUCUGGAACCAGUCUGCUUGGUGGCUACUCACUCAGCACUCCAGAUAUCCUCAGUAGCUGUGUCUUAUUAUAGGUACCCUGGCAGAAGAAAUUCAUGGAGGUAAGUAAGGAUGGAAGGAAGGAAGAGUGGGUGGGUUACUUUUGGCUCAAAAAAAGGGCACAAUCUUAUGGUGGGACCUUAAGGAAACAGGAGCUUGAACAUCUGGUCACAAUGGGUUCACAG